UUAAGCGACUAAGCGUACACGGUGGAUGCCCUGGCAGUCAGAGGCGAUGAAGGACGUGCUAAUCUGCGAUAAGCGUCGGUAAGGUGAUAUGAACCGUUAUAACCGGCGAUUUCCGAAUGGGGAAACCCAGUGUGUUUCGACACACUAUCAUUAACUGAAUUCAUAGGUUAAUGAGGCGAACCGGGGGAACUGAAACAUCUAAGUACCCCGAGGAAAAGAAAUCAACCGAGAUUCCCCCAGUAGCGGCGAGCGAACGGGGAGCAGCCCAGAGCCUGAAUCAGUGUGUGUGUUAGUGGAAGCGUCUGGAAAGGCGCGCGAUACAGGGUGACAGCCCCGUACACAAAAAUGCACAUGCUGUGAGCUCGAUGAGUAGGGCGGGACACGUGGUAUCCUGUCUGAAUAUGGGGGGACCAUCCUCCAAGGCUAAAUACUCCUGACUGACCGAUAGUGAACCAGUACCGUGAGGGAAAGGCGAAAAGAACCCCGGCGAGGGGAGUGAAAAAGAACCUGAAACCGUGUACGUACAAGCAGUGGGAGCACGCUUAGGCGUGUGACUGCGUACCUUUUGUAUAAUGGGUCAGCGACUUAUAUUCUGUAGCAAGGUUAACCGAAUAGGGGAGCCGAAGGGAAACCGAGUCUUAACUGGGCGUUAAGUUGCAGGGUAUAGACCCGAAACCCGGUGAUCUAGCCAUGGGCAGGUUGAAGGUUGGGUAACACUAACUGGAGGACCGAACCGACUAAUGUUGAAAAAUUAGCGGAUGACUUGUGGCUGGGGGUGAAAGGCCAAUCAAACCGGGAGAUAGCUGGUUCUCCCCGAAAGCUAUUUAGGUAGCGCCUCGUGAAUUCAUCUCCGGGGGUAGAGCACUGUUUCGGCAAGGGGGUCAUCCCGACUUACCAACCCGAUGCAAACUGCGAAUACCGGAGAAUGUUAUCACGGGAGACACACGGCGGGUGCUAACGUCCGUCGUGAAGAGGGAAACAACCCAGACCGCCAGCUAAGGUCCCAAAGUCAUGGUUAAGUGGGAAACGAUGUGGGAAGGCCCAGACAGCCAGGAUGUUGGCUUAGAAGCAGCCAUCAUUUAAAGAAAGCGUAAUAGCUCACUGGUCGAGUCGGCCUGCGCGGAAGAUGUAACGGGGCUAAACCAUGCACCGAAGCUGCGGCAGCGACACUAUGUGUUGUUGGGUAGGGGAGCGUUCUGUAAGCCUGUGAAGGUGUACUGUGAGGUAUGCUGGAGGUAUCAGAAGUGCGAAUGCUGACAUAAGUAACGAUAAAGCGGGUGAAAAGCCCGCUCGCCGGAAGACCAAGGGUUCCUGUCCAACGUUAAUCGGGGCAGGGUGAGUCGACCCCUAAGGCGAGGCCGAAAGGCGUAGUCGAUGGGAAACAGGUUAAUAUUCCUGUACUUGGUGUUACUGCGAAGGGGGGACGGAGAAGGCUAUGUUGGCCGGGCGACGGUUGUCCCGGUUUAAGCGUGUAGGCUGGUUUUCCAGGCAAAUCCGGAAAAUCAAGGCUGAGGCGUGAUGACGAGGCACUACGGUGCUGAAGCAACAAAUGCCCUGCUUCCAGGAAAAGCCUCUAAGCAUCAGGUAACAUCAAAUCGUACCCCAAACCGACACAGGUGGUCAGGUAGAGAAUACCAAGGCGCUUGAGAGAACUCGGGUGAAGGAACUAGGCAAAAUGGUGCCGUAACUUCGGGAGAAGGCACGCUGAUAUGUAGGUGAAGUCCCUCGCGGAUGGAGCUGAAAUCAGUCGAAGAUACCAGCUGGCUGCAACUGUUUAUUAAAAACACAGCACUGUGCAAACACGAAAGUGGACGUAUACGGUGUGACGCCUGCCCGGUGCCGGAAGGUUAAUUGAUGGGGUUAGCCGCAAGGCGAAGCUCUUGAUCGAAGCCCCGGUAAACGGCGGCCGUAACUAUAACGGUCCUAAGGUAGCGAAAUUCCUUGUCGGGUAAGUUCCGACCUGCACGAAUGGCGUAAUGAUGGCCAGGCUGUCUCCACCCGAGACUCAGUGAAAUUGAACUCGCUGUGAAGAUGCAGUGUACCCGCGGCAAGACGGAAAGACCCCGUGAACCUUUACUAUAGCUUGACACUGAACAUUGAGCCUUGAUGUGUAGGAUAGGUGGGAGGCUUUGAAGUGUGGACGCCAGUCUGCAUGGAGCCGACCUUGAAAUACCACCCUUUAAUGUUUGAUGUUCUAACGUGGACCCGUAAUCCGGGUUGCGGACAGUGUCUGGUGGGUAGUUUGACUGGGGCGGUCUCCUCCUAAAGAGUAACGGAGGAGCACGAAGGUUGGCUAAUCCUGGUCGGACAUCAGGAGGUUAGUGCAAUGGCAUAAGCCAGCUUGACUGCGAGCGUGACGGCGCGAGCAGGUGCGAAAGCAGGUCAUAGUGAUCCGGUGGUUCUGAAUGGAAGGGCCAUCGCUCAACGGAUAAAAGGUACUCCGGGGAUAACAGGCUGAUACCGCCCAAGAGUUCAUAUCGACGGCGGUGUUUGGCACCUCGAUGUCGGCUCAUCACAUCCUGGGGCUGAAGUAGGUCCCAAGGGUAUGGCUGUUCGCCAUUUAAAGUGGUACGCGAGCUGGGUUUAGAACGUCGUGAGACAGUUCGGUCCCUAUCUGCCGUGGGCGCUGGAGAACUGAGGGGGGCUGCUCCUAGUACGAGAGGACCGGAGUGGACGCAUCACUGGUGUUCGGGUUGUCAUGCCAAUGGCACUGCCCGGUAGCUAAAUGCGGAAGAGAUAAGUGCUGAAAGCAUCUAAGCACGAAACUUGCCCCGAGAUGAGUUCUCCCUGACUCCUUGAGAGUCCUGAAGGAACGUUGAAGACGACGACGUUGAUAGGCCGGGUGUGUAAGCGCAGCGAUGCGUUGAGCUAACCGGUACUAAUGAACCGUGAGGCUUAACCUU
rnacentral:rRNA from 1 species